CUUUACUGUAGCUUUGCAUUGGACUUUGAAUCGGUCUGUGUAGGAUAGGUGGGAGGCGUUGAUAACAGGAUGCUAGUUCUGUUGGAGCCAACCUUGAAAUACCACCCUGAUUUAUUUGAGGUUCUAACCUUGGCCCGUUAUCCGGGUCGGGAACAGUGCAUGGUAGGCAGUUUGACUGGGGCGGUCUCCUCCCAAAGUGUAACGGAGGAGUACGAAGGUACGCUUGGUACGGUCGGACAUCGUACCUAAAGUGCAAUGGCAAAAGCGUGCUUAACUGCGAGACCGACAAGUCGAGCAGGUGCGAAAGCAGGUCAUAGUGAUCCGGUGGUUCUGUAUGGAAGGGCCAUCGCUCAACGGAUAAAAGGUA
rnacentral:rRNA from 1 species